AGCUGAAGAUGAAAACACACAUCAAAAUCUAAAGAAUGGCUUCACCGGAACAAGAUGAAGGCUUUGGAACGGCCCAGCCAGAGUCCAGACCUCACUCCCAUUGAACACCCGUGGGGUGAUCUGAAGAAGGCUGAGCACAGGAGAUGCCCUCGCAAUCUGUC